GAUCCUGGCUCAGGAUGAACGCUAGCUACAGGCUUAACACAUGCAAGUCGAGGGGCAACAUGGUAUCAGCUUGCUAAGGCCGAUGGCGACCGGCGCACGGGUGAGUAACGCGUAUCCAACCUGCCUUACACUCUUGGACAGCCUUCUGAAAGGGAGAUUAAUACAAGAUGUUAUCAUGAGUAAGCAUUUUCGCAUGAUUAAAGGUUUACCGGUGUAAGAUGGGGAUGCGUUCCA
rnacentral:rRNA from 1 species